rnacentral:misc_RNA from 1 species
UUCAUUCAUUUAAUCAAUACUCCGACGUAUAGAGACAGCGUUCGGUGGUCCUCCGGGGGCGGCGGCGGACGCUCUGCCCCCGAGGCAAAAUGGUUUGUCAACAAAGGGUUGGGGACGGGGGCGCGGGGGCCCACCAUCUCUGGUAAUGAUCCCUCCGCAGGUUCACCUACGGAGA